GACGAACGCUGGCGGCGUGCUUAAUACAUGCAAGUCGAGCGAGGUUACUGUUUUGGAUCCCUUCGGGGUGAAGAAGCUUUAACCUAGCGGCGGACGGGUGAGUAACGCGUGGGUAACCUACCCCAAAGUCCGGGAUAACAGCGGGAAACCGCUGCUAAUACCGGAUGUCUUUACCUUGGGGCAUCUUGAGGUAAAGAAAGGUAACGCUUUGGGAUGGGCCCGCGUCCCAUUAGCUAGUUGGUGAGGUAACGGCUCACCAAGGCGACGAUGGGUAGCCGGCCUGAGAGGGUGGACGGUCACACUGGGACUGAGACACGGCCCAGACUCCUACGGGAGGCAGCAGUAGGGAAUAUUGCGCAAUGGACGGAAGUCUGACGCAGCGACGCCGCGUGAGCGAUGAAGGUCUUCGGAUCGUAAAGCUCUGUCCUUGGGGAAGAAGGCGAAAGCUUGACGGUACCCAAGAAGAAAGCCCCGGCUAACUACGUG
rnacentral:rRNA from 1 species